rnacentral:rRNA from 1 species
AAACCAACUGGGAUUACCUUAGUAACGGCGAGUGAAGCGGUAAAAGCUCAAAUUUGAAAUCUGGUACUUUCAGUGCCCGAGUUGUAAUUUGUAGAAUUUGUCUUUGAUUAGGUCCUUGUCUAUGUUCCUUGGAACAGGACGUCAUAGAGGGUGAGAAUCCCGUUUGGCGAGGAUACCUUUUCUCUGUAAGACUUUUUCGAAGAGUCGAGUUGUUUGGGAAUGCAGCUCAAAGUGGGUGGUAAAUUCCAUCUAAAGCUAAAUAUUGGCGAGAGACCGAUAGCGAACAAGUACAGUGAUGGAAAGAUGAAAAGAACUUUGAAAAGAGAGUGAAAAAGUACGUGAAAUUGUUGAAAGGGAAGGGCAUUUGAUCAGACAUGGUGUUUUUUAAAUGUGCAAGUCUCUCGUGGACAUGUGCCUCCGGAAAUUAACACUGGGCCAACAUCAGUUCUGGCGGCAGGAUAAAUCAUUAAGAAUGUAGCUACCUCGGUAGUGUUAUAGCUUUUUGGAAUACUGCCAGCUGGGUA